rnacentral:rRNA from 1 species
AUACGGAGGGUGCAAGCGUUAUCCGGAAUCAUUGGGUUUAAAGGGUCCGUAGGCGGACUAUUAAGUCAGAGGUGAAGUCCCACAGCUCAACUGUGGAACUGCCUUUGAUACUGGUAGUCUUGAGUUAUAUGGAAGUAGAUAGAAUGUGUAGUGUAGCGGUGAAAUGCAUAGAUAUUACACAGAAUACCGAUUGCGAAGGCAGUCUACUACGUAUAUACUGACGCUAAGGGACGAAAGCGUGGGGAGCGAACAGGAUUAGAAACCCUAGUAGUCC